AUACGACUCAUACACAUAGACACAAAGAUGCAUGCCCCCCACACACACCUACAUAUGCCUCAUACACAUAGACACAGACACAUGCCCCCCACACACACCUACAUACGCCUCAUACACAUAGACACAAAGACACAUGUCCCACACACACCUACAUACGCCUCAUACACAUAGACACAAAGACACAUGCCCCCCCACACACACCUACAUACCCCUCAUACACAUAGACACAAAGACACAUGCCCCCCCACACACAUACAGAGGCCCCCCCACACACACCUACAUAUGCCUCAUACACAUAGACACAAAGACACAUGCCCCCCCACACACAUACAGAGGCCCCCCCACACACACCUACAUAUGCCUCAUACACAUAGACACAAAGAUGCAUGCCCCCCACACACACCUACAUAUGCCUCAUACACAUAGACACAGACACAUGCCCCCCACACACACCUACAUACGCCUCAUACACAUAGACACAAAGACACAUGUCCCACACACACCUACAUACGCCUCAUACACAUAGACACAAAGACACAUGCCCCCCCACACACACCUACAUACGCCUCAUACACAUAGACACAAAGACACAUGCCCCCCCACACACAUACAGAGGCCCCCCCACACACACCUACAUACGCCUCAUACACAUAGACACAAAGACACAUGCCCCCCCACACACAUACAGAGGCCCCCCCACACACACCUACAUAUGCCUCAUACACAUAGACACAAAGACACAUGUCCCACACACACCUACAUACGCCUCAUACACAUAGACACAAAGACACAUGCCCCCCCACACACACCUACAUACGCCUCAUACACAUAGACACAAAGACACAUGCCACCCCCCACACAGAGGCCCCCAUA
rnacentral:lncRNA from 1 species